CCUACGGGGGGCUGCAGUGGGGAAUAUUGCGCAAUGGGCGAAAGCCUGACGCAGCGACGCCGCGUGAGGGAUGAAGGUCUUCGGAUUGUAAACCUCUGUCAGCAGGGAAGAAAGGUCACUGUGCUAAUCAGCAGUGAAUUGACGGUACCUGCACAGGAAGCACCGGCUAACUCCGUGCCAGCAGCCGCGGUAAUACGGCGGGUGCGAGCGUUAAUCGGAAUUACUGGGCGUAAAGCGCUCGUAGGCGGUAUGGCAAGUCUAGGGUGAAAGCCCCGCGCUCAACGUGGGAACUGCCUUUGAAACUGGCAAGCUGGAGUGUGUGAGAGGAAAGUGGAAUUCCAGGUGUAGGAGUGAAAUCCGUAGAUAUCUGGAGGAACAUCAGUGGCGAAGGCGACUAUCUGGCACAUAACUGACGCUGAGGAUCGAAAGCGUGGGUAGCAAACAGGAUUAGAUACCCGGGUAGUC
rnacentral:rRNA from 1 species